rnacentral:rRNA from 1 species
AUUGAACGCUGGCGGCAUGCCUUACACAAGCAAGUCGAACGGCAGCACGGGUGCUUGCACCUGGUGGCGAGUGGCGAACGGGUGAGUAAUAUAUCGGAACGUACCUUAUUGUGGGGGAUAACGCAGCGAAAGCUGUGCUAAUACCGCAUAAUCCCUAAGGGGGAAAGCGGGGGACCGUAAGGCCUCGCGCAAUUAGAGCGGCCGAUACCUGAUUAGCUAGUUGGUGAGGUAAAGGCUCACCAAGGCAACGAUCAGUAGCUGGUCUGAGAGGACGAUCAGCCACACUGGGACUGGGACACGGCCCAGACUCCUACGGGAGGCAGCAGUGGGGAAUUUUGGAAAAUGGGGGCAACCCUGAUCCAGCAAUGCCGCGUGAGUGAAGAAGGCCUUCGGGUUGUAAAGCUCUUUUGUCAGGGAAGAAACAGCAGCUCUAACACAGUUUGCGAAUGACGGUACCUGAAGAAUAAGCACCGGCUAACUACGUGCCAGCAGCCGCCGUAA